UGGCUGAGUAAAGGCUCCUGUCUAGUGUUUUAAGGUUCCCUCCUCGUGGACACUUCUCUCCUGAGAUGACUAUGGAGUGAGAGGUCUGCGAACAGAAUGAGCGACACCCCUUUGUGUCAGGGGUUCUCACCCACAGGAUAGACUCACAAUCUGGCUUGCUCCUGGAGUGGCAGCAGAAAAUCCCAUUCACUGAGAAAGGAUGAAGAAGCCUCUGAUUAUGAGCUCAUUCUACUCUAUAUUGCCUUCCAAUAUUUCCUUUUCUUAGUUGCUUUAAGUGUGAACUAUGAGCAUGAGUAUUGAAUAAGACUGGAUGAUUUCAUGUCAUUAUCUUCCUGGCAUCCCUUUAUGCUUGAUAAAUAUGAUUU